UCUAGAGAUCUCUUCAUAUUUUAUCAGCCAAAACGCCAUAGAAGGUCUGGAGAAAGCUGGUUUUUCAUAUUUUACAUCAUAUCAAGAAUCCAAAGAAGAACGAGGAAAAGAAAAAGUUGCGAAAUAGUCCCUAAAUUUCAAUAUCUUCUACAAAUUAGUCCAGAUUGAAUUAAAGAGAAGUUGGUAGAUCGGAUCAACACAACAGGGCACACUAUUCAGAUCAAUUCCGGUAGUUUUUGUUUUAUGUUUAAAGAUUUAUAUGGCAUGUAUAGAGUUUGAAUGAAUUGAAGUAAAGAUGUUAUAAACUAGUUAACAAUAUUUGUACUAAAACAGUUUUUGGUAA